rnacentral:rRNA from 1 species
AUGAACGCUGGCGGCGUGCCUAAUACAUGCAAGUCGAGCGAACAGAUGAGGAGCUUGCUCCUCUGACGUUAGCGGCGGACGGGUGAGUAACACGUGGAUAACCUACCUAUAAGACUGGGAUAACUUCGGGAAACCGGAGCUAAUACCGGAUAAUAUAUUGAACCGCAUGGUUCAAUAGUGAAAGACGGUUUUGCUGUCACUUAUAGAUGGAUCCGCGCUGCAUUAGCUAGUUGGUAAGGUAACGGCUUACCAAGGCAACGAUGCGUAGCCGACCUGAGAGGGUGAUCGGCCACACUGGAACUGAGACACGGUCCAGACUCCUACGGGAGGCAGCAGUAGGGAAUCUUCCGCAAUGGGCGAAAGCCUGACGGAGCAACGCCGCGUGAGUGAUGAAGGUCUUCGGAUCGUAAAACUCUGUUAUUAGGGAAGAACAAAUGUGUAAGUAACUAUGCACGUCUUGACGGUACCUAAUCAGAAAGCCACGGCUAACUACGUG